AUUGUUCACAAUGGGCGCAAGCCUGAUGACGCAACGCCGCGUGGAGGAUGAAGGUCUUCGGAUUGUAAACUCCUGUUGCUCGGGACGAAAAGCUACGACCUAAUACGUCGGAGUCUGACGGUACCGAGUGAGGAAGCCCCGGCUAACUCUGUGCCAGCAGCCGCGGUAAUACAGGGGGGGCAAGCGUUGUUCGGAAUUACUGGGCGUAAAGGGGGCGUAGGCGGCCUGUUAAGUCGAACGUGAAAUCCCUAGGCCCAACCUAGGAACUGCGUCCGAUACUGGCAGGCUUGAAUUCGGGAGAGGGAUGCGGAAUUCCAGGUGUAGCGGUGAAAUGCGUAGAUAUCUGGAGGAACACCGGUGGCGAAGGCGGCAUCCUGGACCGAGAUUGACGCUGAGGCGCGAAAGCCAGGGGAGCAAAC
rnacentral:rRNA from 1 species